rnacentral:snRNA from 1 species
GGAUGUGAGGGUGACCUGGCUGCAACAUCUGUCACCCCAUUAAUCGGUGUCCCGUUCCUCCCUCACCGCUCCAUGUGACUCCUUCCUGAAGCUGCAUGCUCAGUGGAAGGGGACGACCAUCCCCAAUAGAGGGGGACUGGUCUUUGACCAAGGGUAUACGAGUAGCUGUGCCUCCCUGCUAGAACCUCCAAACAAGCUCUCACGGCUCAUAAAGUGAUUUUAUUCCACUGUUGUAUGAUCAACAAUUGAGCUUCAUCGUGGUGGUGUUCAGAGAU